AAAGUUCCUUGCUUUUAUUGGUUAUUGUUGCCUCUAGAGACAUGGUUGUCAUCGGCAUGUACCCUAGACAAAGACAAGUGAAGAAACAGAUGCAUAUGUGAAGAUGUAUUUAAAGGUAUUUGAUAAGCAUCUUUUUUCCACAAUUGCAUGAAACUUCUGAUAAGCAACAUUUGUACAUUUAUCUCCUGUGCAUUUUUCUAGCAUCAAAUGCAACAUUGCCUUGCUCAAAGAUCUAGUCAGCCAGUUGGACUGCAAAAAGCUCUGGGGAGUAAAAAAUCAAUCAGUGCUGAGAAAUAAAGAAACUCUUAAAGUAAAGGUGCUCUAUCAGCUUGCAAGCAGAUCUGAAAAAAAACAGCUCUUACAGUGCCCUGGAGCUCAGGAUUUUGGAGCACUAGUUCAAGAGUUUUCCUCAUUGCUGGAGCUAGUUACAAUGGACAAGACAUUGCUGAUUAGUGAGGAUGACUUCGAUGAGCUUUCGGAAGAGUAUGGAGUUUACCUUUCCUGGAUGCCUCCUGAACUCUGUGAAUUUUUUUGUUUCUACAUCUACAGGAUGAAACCAUACAUCCUUUAGAACAGUAAAAGUAAAAUACUUUGCAUGUCAGUUAGUAUAUAAAGCUAAUUGACAUCUGAUAGGAUGACUCAUUGCAAAUUUUUGUUCACUGAGGAUGGUGGGUAUGACUGGAAAUUAAGAACAAAUUGAAUUUAAAAAGGCAUGAUAUGCUGUACUGAGCCUUAAAAAAUGUAAAGCGGAAUAUUGAGGUUUUGAUUCCCUUACCACACAAAAAAAAGUUCUCAUUUAUUUUAAGUAAUAUGAUGUUUGAAAGUAAAGUCUUCUGACUUGUUCAUAUCAUUAUUCAUAGUGUAGAUCCCUUGUCUUCAAUGUAAUUAUGCCUUUGAGUGAUAUUUUGCAGGAUCAGAUCCUUUAUCUAGAAAGGUCUGGUGUUAUAGCAGUUUAGGCAAGCGUCUUCCAUUCUGCGACCUAGGCCCUGGUAUUGCAAUUAUACCUGCUCAGUUCCCUGGAGUCAGCAGAGAUUUGUUUGAGAAGAGAUCUGUUCAAGCAGAUCCAGACAAGUUUGGAACAAUAGACAUUAGUUUUCUCAGAGCUGUAGCAGGAGCAAAAGCCCUAGAUACCUCAGCCCUGAUCUCAGUAGCCAAGUGAAGAAUCAUGAUAGGAUCAGGCAUUAUGAGGUAUUUGUAUGGAAAA
rnacentral:lncRNA from 1 species